ensembl:snRNA U6 U6 spliceosomal RNA
GCGGUCAUUUUGGCAGCACCUAUACUAAAAUUGGAGCAAUACAGAGAAUAUUAGCAUGGCUCUUGCACAAGGAUGACAUGCAAAUUCCUGAAGCACUCCAUAUUUUU